rnacentral:lncRNA from 1 species
CAAAAUAAGAGUUUUAUGGUGAGGUCAUACGUUCAGCAAAUACAAGAUUGGUUGAUUUAACCAUUGCCGGCCGUGACUUCAGCAUUUUCAUUUACUGUGGUUUCUGUUUUAAGAAUACACGCAUCCUAAAUUAGACUACCGGAAUUAUAUUUAUUCGUUUUCUUUUAGUGAUUGGUAAUUAGCUAAAUUAAUUUGCCCUCAAACAGGCAACCUACAUAACGGCCA